rnacentral:rRNA from 1 species
UGUCCUACGGGGCGCAGCAGUGAGGAAUAUUGGUCAAUGGGCGGGAGCCUGAACCAGCCAAGUCGCGUGAGGGACGACGGUCCUAUGGAUUGUAAACCUCUUUUGUCGGGGAACAAAGGCGGAGACGCGUCUCCGGAUGAGUGUACCCGAAGAAAAAGCAUCGGCUAACUCCGUGCCAGCAGCCGCGGUAAUACGGAGGAUGCGAGCGUUAUCCGGAUUUAUUGGGUUUAAAGGGUGCGCAGGCGGGAGA